rnacentral:misc_RNA from 1 species
GGAGGUAGCUGAAAGAUUGAUUGUCAUGCAUGAGGAAUGUUUGGAUCGUAACUUUAGCUCGAUCGAAAGGUUAAGGCAAACCCCUCAUCCUCAAGUUGCUCAUUCUCACGUUAGUCAGGCUGUGAGUGAUGAUGAUGAAGAUGAUGAAGAAGAUGGCAGUGGUGAUGUUGGAAAUGGAAGAGAUGUCAUGAGAAAUGAUAUGAUGGUGGAUGCCGAACAACCCAGGUCUGUCAAUCAGCUCAAUCUAGAGGCUACAGCUGAAGCUGAAGAUGGAUGGGUUCAAGUCACAUCAAGAAGAAGUAGGGGUACAAGAAAUUAAUACCUCUCUCAAUGUCUUCUAUUUAUCAUCUACGUAUAAUUAUCUCAAAUGAAUCCCUUUGCCCUUUUCUUUAUACUGGGCAUGAGCAAUCAAUUUUGUUUGGUGUGAAAAUAUAUAAAAUAUUAGAAUUCAGCUUGUGUUUUGAGAGAUCAUAGAGGCAGUCAUUAUGUCGUUUUUUGAAGUAUC